UACGUAGGGGGCAAGCGUUGUCCGGAUUUAUUGGGCGUAAAGAGCGCGCAGGCGGUCGUUCAAGUCGCGUGUGAAAGCCCCCGGCUCAACUGGGGAGGGUCACGCGAUACUGAUCGACUCGAAGGCAGGAGAGGGUAGUGGAAUCCCCGGUGUAGUGGUGAAAUGCGUAGAUAUCGGGAGGAACACCAGUGGCGAAGGCGACUACCUGGCCUGUUCUUGACGCUGAGGCGCGAAAGCUAGGGGAGCAAACGGG
rnacentral:rRNA from 1 species